UGCGUAGGUGGUUGCGUAAGUCGGAUGUGAAAUCCUGAGGCUUAACCUCAGAACUGCAUCUGAUACUGCGUGACUCGAGUGCAGCAGAGGGAAACGGAAUUCCUGGUGUAGAGGUGAAAUUCGUAGAUAUCAGGAGGAACACCGGUGGCGAAGGCGGUUUCCUGGGCUGACACUGACACUGAGGCGCGAAAGCGUGGGUAGCAAACAGGAUUAGAUACCCUGGUAGUCCACGCUGUAAACGGUGAGUACUGGGUGUGGGAGGUGUAAUGCCUUCUGUGCCGAAGCUAACGCGUUAAGUACUCCGCCUGGGGAGUACGGCCGCAAGGUUGAA
rnacentral:rRNA from 1 species